rnacentral:rRNA from 1 species
AUUGAACGCUGGCGGCAGGCCUAACACAUGCAAGUCGAGCGGCAGCGGAAAGUAGCUUGCUACUUUGCCGGCGAGCGGCGGACGGGUGAGUAAUGUCUGGGAAACUGCCUGAUGGAGGGGGAUAACUACUGGAAACGGUAGCUAAUACCGCAUAACCUCGAAAGAGCAAAGUGGGGGAUCUUCGGACCUCACGCCAUCGGAUGUGCCCAGAUGGGAUUAGCUAGUAGGUGAGGUAAUGGCUCACCUAGGCGACGAUCCCUAGCUGGUCUGAGAGGAUGACCAGCCACACUGGAACUGAGACACGGUCCAGACUCCUACGGGAGGCAGCAGUGGGGAAUAUUGCACAAUGGGCGCAAGCCUGAUGCAGCCAUGCCGCGUGUGUGAAGAAGGCCUUAGGGUUGUAAAGCACUUUCAGCGAGGAGGAAGGCAUCAUACUUAAUACGUGUGGUGAUUGACGUUACUCGCAGAAGAAGCACCGG